rnacentral:rRNA from 1 species
UACGUAGGGUGCGAGCGUUUGUCCGGAAUUACUGGGCGUAAAGAGCUCGUAGGCGGUUGGGUAAGUCGGGUGUGAAAACUCCAGGCUCAACUUGGAGAUGCCACCCGAUACUGCUCUGACUUGAGUUCGGUAGGGGGAGUGGGGAAUUCCUGGUGUAGCGGUGAAAUGCGCAGAUAUCAGGAGGAACACCGAUGGCGAAGGCAGCUCGCUGGGACGUGACUGACGCUGGAGA